GCUCAGUUGGUUAAAACUUCUGACUUUGGCUCAGAUCAUGAUUUUGUGGGUUCGUGGGUUCAAGCCCCACAUUGGGCU
rnacentral:tRNA from 1 species